ACAGACGCUAUGGUAACCCUGCUAACAGGCCUACGACAGCAUAAAACAGACCUCGGUUAUUUCCUCGGGAGUCACUCAACACAUGCUAACCGUGCUUACCACGUCUGGAUGCUACUGGCCACUCAACGGAAUGGCCGGCGUGGUUUGCAGCAAACCCUAUCACAGCGUCCUGUGACUGCACCAUCCCUUAUUCUCACAGCCAUGAUUGUGGGUCCCUGUCUCCGCGUAACCACAGUCACAGUCAGUACAAAGCCCCAGACGGGUCCCAUGACGACCUCUCACACCAGCCUAGUGAGCAACGUGGAGAGAUUACUUACUGAAAACACACCUGCCUAACCCUGCUCCGCAUUCCUGGGAAAAUCGGGAUUCACACUUCAGAGCCGCCUGGCAGGAGGUGCACAAGGGGGAAGCCCGCAGGGCCCGGAGCCUCUUGGCCUCUCUCCACGCUGCCCUUGCCUGAAUUCGGCCUUCCAAGGCCCAACCCUGCCCUCUGUCCUGGCCUUCAGGAAGAUAAACGCUAUGCGGCUUGGAUUUCUGCAAGCUCCUUCCCGUCUCUUUCACAGACUGGUGUCAGGAAGGGCAGCUCGCCUGGGGAAACCGGGAGGAGGCCUUGCUGGAAGCAGUUACUGAGCUCUCUCCAGGGGGAAUCCUCAGAAGCACUGGGAAUGUGCCCGGUGUUCCGUGUGCCUCGUUAAAAAGCAAAGAGCCCCCGAGGAGGAAAAUGGAUUCUCUUCUAUCGCCCAGGGACUGCCAAAAUUCAGCUUUGCACUGCUGGUUCUGAACCUCAGUUAACUCCUGUUACACAAGAUUUGUAAAUGAGGAAAAAGAGAUAAAACCAUUUCCCCAACUCAAGAUGUGUGGGCUGAAUACAAUUUGCAUAAUAUCUUAAAAGAUAAAUGGCAACUCUCCACCCACUGUAGACUGGCAGACUGGAUGGCUUUUGUUUAAUAUCAUUGAUAGCUCUUCUUUAACCAGCCUUUCUAAGUACAUUCAAUAAAUACUCUCAAAGGCAGAUUCACCUCUAAGAUGGAAAAUGAGCUUUUUUGAUUCAUCUUGAAAAUGUCUCAGCUGUGUACAUAUAUAUGACAUAUAUAUGUAUAUAUAUACACAUACAUAUGACACUCAUGUAUUAUCUUGGUAACCAGCAGGGAUAAACCGUUCAGCCUUAGCUCCACAGCAACACUACGCUAUUAAAACUACAGGACUGGGAACCAGCAGUUAGCGU